GCCGCGGGAUUAGAGUUUGAUCCUGGCUCAGGACGAACGCUGGCGGCGUGCUUAACACAUGCAAGUCGGACGGUUAGUAGGUGAAAGCUUGCUGGAUCCUACUGAUAGUGCGGACGGGUGAGUAACACGUGAGAACCUGACCCAAGCAGGGGGACAACUGCUGGAAACGGCAGCUAAUACCCCAUAGGCGGGAGACCGUUAAAGGAGCGAUCCGGCUUGGGAGGGGCUCGCGGCCUAUCAGCUAGUAGGUGUGGUAAUGGCGCACCUAGGCGAUGACGGGUAGCCGGCCUGAGAGGGUGUACGGCCACACUGGAACUGAGAUACGGUCCAGACUCCUACGGGAGGCAGCAGUGGGGAAUAUUGGGCAAUGGGGGCAACCCUGACCCAGCGACGCCGCGUGGGGGAAGAAGUCCUUCGGGAUGUAAACCCCUGUUAUGUGGGAAGAAGGAUGUGACGGUACCACACGAGGAAGCCCCGGCAAACUACGUGCCAGCCGCCGCGGUAAUUCA
rnacentral:rRNA from 1 species